GAAACUGUACCCCACCUCCGUAAACUGGUAAAUAGUGGCAUGGAAGAUCCAUUUGGUGAGCGCACGUGUCCUCUGAAAACUUUUCCAAGUUGCUUUUUAUACAAUGACAACUUUUAAAAGUUCACCAAUGUUAAAUGGACAAUCAACUAGAUAGAAAUGGCUUUACAAGAAGAGGAAAAGCCCAAAAUGCUGCUUCUGUAGAGAACCCACAGUUCAGUUUUAUUCAGAACAAAGAAACAAACUUUCAAGCGUACUGGAAGAAACUCAGCCCCAGGUUUGUGAUCUGGACUCAAACCACACAUGCAGUAAGGAUGUUCUUCCGCUACACUGUCCAUGUGCUGCUGCGUGGUCUGCUGUGUGUCUACCACGGACCGUCAGAGCAGCCUGCAACAGUCCUCAGUGGUACCGCGUCAGGCACAACCGUUCGCUUCUCUGUGUCCCUGUCCCUCUUCAGUAAGGUCAUGUCUGUUACUGAAAGUCUGGCGAAUCUCCUUCGGAGUUGUUCCUGUGAUCGUAUUGGCAAGAGUCUUGCAGGUAACAUCAGCAAACCUUUGAUGUCUAAGUAGUUUGCAGCCAGGAGAAGUCAAAAAGUGUUCCUUGGUCAACCUUCAGAAGUCCUCGGUCCCAAACAGGAACUUCUCUGUUCUCAUCAUCUUCAGGAGGAGGAGGGUCAUCCUGGUCAUCCUUGAGGUGGGUCCACCACUGAGUGGCCUUUUUAAUAUUGCUACAUUAACAUUCGGUAGAGGAACUGGGUCACCGUCUCCUUCAUCCAUUCCCAAGUCUUCCUACAUGGUCUCGAUAGUCAGGCUGCUUGGCAGUUCCCUCAUCAACUUCAGGUAUCUCUCCAUCAGAACUCGGCACCUUAAUUGAAGGCAUGGUGCCCAGUCUCAGGGAGACGGCUGGCUGGGGGCUGACAGGAGUGGAGCGGCGUUGGCAGACAAGAGAAAGGAGAACAGGACUGCUCCCUAAACUCAAAUAAUUCUUUAAAAGAAAAGAAAA